rnacentral:rRNA from 1 species
GUUUACGGCCAUACCACCCGGAGCACGCCCGAUCCCGUCUGAUCUCGGAAUCUAAGCAGGGCUGGGCCUGGUUAGUACCUGGAAGGGAGACCGCCUGGGAAUACCAGGUGCUGUAAGCA